ACCCAGGCGCUCCGGGAUGGCGCUCCGCGGGACCCUCCGGCCGCUCAAAGUUCGCAGGAGGCGAGAGAUGCUGCCGCAGCAAGUUGGCUUCGUGUGCGCGGUGCUGGCCCUGGUGUGCUGUGCGUCCGGCCUCUUCGGCAGCUUGGGGCACAAAACAGCUUCUGCUAGCAAACGUGUCCUGCCAGACACGUGGAGAAAUAGAAAGUUGAUGGCCCCAGUGAAUGGGACACAGACAGCCAAGAACUGCACAGAUCCUGGUCCUUUUACUCCUAAUGAGGAGAGUGAACAUGAAAUUUAUCAUCCAAACUGUGACACUUUUGAUAGAAGGGGAUACUAUUCAUUAUACUGGACAGCAGAUGUGAAUCAGGACUGUCCUAGAGAAACCAGAGGAUAUAAAAGAUCCAAUAAUGACAACUGCUAUGUUAUUCAUAAGAGUUCAUUCAUACAGGAGUUGUUUUCAUGCUUGUGUUUCAUGAAUAAAGGGUCAAUCAAGUCAACCCAUAAUGAGGGCUGAGUUGUUUUUCCCCAAAAGAUAUGGUGGAGUCCUAACCUGGUAUUUGUAAAUGUGACCUUCAUUGGAAAUAGGGUCUCUGCAGAUGUACUUGGUCGAGAAGAAGUUAUGCUGGAUGAAGGUGGGCCCUAAAUUCAGUCACUGGUGUCCUUAUAAAAAGUC
rnacentral:lncRNA from 1 species